AUACGGAGGAUGCAAGCGUUAUCCGGAUUUAUUGGGCUUAAAGGGUGCGUAGGCUGUUCGGAAAGUCAGGGGUGAAAGCCCGGCGCCUAACGCCGGAACUGCCUUUGAUACUUCCGAGCUGGAAUACGGAUGCCGUGGGAGGAAUGAGUAGUGUAGCGGUGAAAUGCAUAGAUAUUACUCAGAACACCGAUUGCGAAGGCAUCUCACGAAUCCGUCAUUGACGCUGAGGCACGAAAGCGUGGGGAUCAAACAGGAUUAGAUACCCUGGUAGUCCACGCAGUAAACGAUGAUGACUAACCGUCGGCGAUACACAGUCGGUGGCCAAGCGAAAGCGAUAAGUCAUCCACCUGGGGAGUACGUUCGCAAGAAUGAAACUCAAAUGAAUUGACGGGG
rnacentral:rRNA from 1 species